GUCUUUAUGAUGAUAAUAUAAAGUCGGGCCUGCCCAAUGAUUAAAUUGAAUGGCCGCAGUAUUUUGACUGUGCUAAGGUAGCAUAAUCAUUAGUUUUUUAAUUGAAAACUGGAAUGAAAGGUUUGAUGAGAAAAUAGCUGUCUCUUUAUUUUAUAUAGAAUUUUAUUUUUGAGUUAAAAAGCUCAAAUUUUCUUGAGGGACGAGAAGACCCUAUAGAGUUUCAGGAUUAAUCUAUUUAAAGAAGAAUUGCUUAUUAUAUAAUUUAUUUAUUUAAUCUUUUGAUUGGGGUGAUUGAAAAAUUAAUUAAACUUUUUCUUGGGUAAACAUUAAUUAAUGGUUAAAUUGAUCCUGUAAAACUGAUUAAAAGAAAUAAUUACCUUAGGGAUAACAGCGUAAUCUUUUUUUAGAGCUCUAAUCGAGAAAAGGGGUUGCGA
rnacentral:rRNA from 1 species